UCGAACUCGGAGUCAGAAUCCGUGGUGGAAUCGCUCUUCGGCUUGUCGUCUUAGUUCGCUGCCAUAAAAAGGGUAAAUAACAUCUCCUUACUCGUCUAUUCUAUUUCGCCAAAUUUUUAUUAUUUGUUGUUGUCGGUAGGAGUUGUCAGAUUGUACGUUUGGCCGAGGACCUAUGGGUCUAGCUUAUAUUUUUUUUUCUUUUAGGCUUUGUUUUUAUUUUCGAUACGCUGACCAUUUGGUAGAGAUUUUUAUGAAAUAGCUCCUUAUGGUUAACAUUGUUUGGUAGAGAUUUUUAUGAAAUAGCUCCUUAUGGUUAACAUUGUUUCGGGUUAGUUCGGUUAACUUUAUUUGAGUAAAAUGGCUGGAUGUUCUAUUUUCUUAUUCACUGCUUGCUAUUUGGUUGGUUAAUUUUGAUAUAGUAGAGGGAUUUUCUUGCGAACAUUAAGGUGAAAUGGCGAACAUCUUAUGGCGUUCAUUGCUUUACGCCUACCUUUUAUCCAUAAAGUACUCAAAUAUUUCCCCACGCUUUACUCUCAUUUUUGGAUUAAAAAAAGUACGAAUCGUUUUUUUUUGUUGAAAAUCACAAUUAUUAGAGUUGGUUAAAUUUACGUUGAAGCCAUAUGUUAGGAAGAGUACAUAUUGUUUUUUUUUUUUGUUGUUGUUGAGAAUCCCCAAGGGAGAAACAAUAUGCUGUGCAGUCUUAACUUAGCUAUAUUGGUAACAUUUUUUGAAAAUUGGAUGGUUGUGACAGUUAGUUGUUGUUAGAUAUCCUUACAUUCUCCCCACCCCUUUUGUAUUUGCUAUCUAUUUUUGGAACAAGUCUUUCACACUAAUUUGGUUCUUGAGUGAGCAUGCGCUCACGUAAAUCUCACAUCCGAAGUGCUCCCAAAUUAAUUAGUAAUUUUCCAUUUAGUGGUUGCCUUAAAGGUCGUUCAAUAUGCAGUUUAUGUGGUAUUUAUCCGUUUUCCUUUAGCAUAACACUAAUUUCAUUACUUUAUCACUAAUAGUUAUAUCUCCUUUUCUAUGCAUGAAAUCCCUCCUCGAGUCCAUCGGACUCCCAUAUCUUGCAUUCGGUUGAGUUAAACCCAUCUUCCAUAGAGUCAAGACCCAUGCCAAGACCGAAAAGGAGACUAAUGUGCAAGAAAAAGGGCUGGUAUACAACUGUAUACUCUGAUAUACAGAUGAUAUACACUCGCAGGCAGCAGCUGCAUGUUGUACCGUGGUUCAUGGUGGAAAAUGGAGUCGAAAUACACAGCUUACCGCACUGAUAUACAUCGUAUACGCGGUGGUAUACAGAAAAACACAGCAAAGGAGUUGCUGAUAUACAGCAGAUAUACAGGGACGAAAGAUGGGCUAAAGUCCAUGAAUUUGGUCCAAAAUUGGACAGAUUUUUAAUGGGCCAAAAAGGGGCCCAAUUCUCACUUUUUUCUCUUUUAUCAUCCAUUCUAACUUAUUUAUUUGUAUUUAUUUGAACAUUUUAAUCAAUUAAUCUAAAUAAAUCCCCCAAGAUAUCUUCAUUUCUCUUUUAUCUUCAUUUUUCCCUUCGUUACUUGAAUUUUUAUUUAUUUAUUUAUGUAUUAUUAUUAUUAUUAUUAUUAUUAUAAAUGAAAUAAAAUAGACUUUACGUUAAUCUUUUUGAACACAAAUCUCUUC
rnacentral:lncRNA from 1 species